GCGGCCUCAAUUGGGGCUUGAUUAGUUGAUUCAGUGCUGUUUGCUUCCUGUUCAGCUGGUGGAGUCUCUGAGCUGCUCGGCUCGGUGGUAGCCUCUGCGGGCGUGCAAAUAGUGGCAAUCUUUCUUGUCUUCUUAAUGGCCUUCACAAUCUUUUCAGGAGUUGAUUCAAAUUCAGAACUUGAAAGAGAGAGAGUGAGAGAAAGAAAGAGAAAACAAAACUGUUUUAGGUGGAGAAGAAUGAUUGAUCACCAUCAAGGUUAUGCAAAGCUCUUUUAAUCUUCUGCACGCAGCCAUUGCAGUCCAUUCGGACGAAGAACUCAGUCACUUGAGCUUUCUGCAAAUUCAUAGCAAAGCUUAGAAUCCAAACCUUCAAGUUUUCAGCCAGAUCGUUUGAUUGAAUGGAGUAGAAUUGAGAAUGAGCGACUUACUCUCUGUUCUGUAUCCAUGGAUGCAUCAGGAAGUAGAGGAAAGAUGGCUCUUUAUAGAUUGUAAAAUAAUCGAAGGUUGGAUGCUACUUUAUAUAUGAUGGAUGGAAUAUUUGAAAGGUAAAAGACGUUGGCCACACCAUGGAAUCAAUAGGAGAGUAAUUGGGGAAGAAAGUGAUAAGAGGGACCCCUUUGGGCCACUUUCAUUGCUUUUAUUUGAGUUGCUAUUGUGGUUGCUUUUGGGGAAAAUUAUUGCGUGUGGAGUUCGGAUUCGUCCAGAGACAAAUCCGGACGUGCCACGACACCCGGGGCCCGGUGCAUCCGGGUGACGUGAAGAAUCUGGAUUCGCCUCAGAACGAUUCAGACGCCGUACGCAAUAAUCUCUGGCAAGAGAUGAAGGGGGGAGGUGCUUGUUUGUAUUAUACAAACCAAAAAAGAUUUGCUUUAUUGUGGCUAAUGUUUGAUUGAUUUAUAAUUGGAAUAUCCUGGCUGGCCAUAGAGAUUAAAAGGGGCACGAUCAUGGCUCUGGGUCAAAAAGAAAGUGUCACUUUUGAUGAAGGAUAUCUACUUUUCAAGCAUCUCCCAUGGGAAAGAAAAGCAUUUUUCCUUGUUGUUGGUGAUCUAGAUAUGCAAGAUUAGCAAAAAAAAGUGCUGGAUUCCAUUUUUUUUCUUCUUGUCAGAAGGGCAAUAAGCUGCAAUUUAAAGUCCUUAAUUGUGAAAUUCUGUAAUGUGUGUGGGCAGAUUAGUCUCUUAUUAGACAAUUCAUUUACUCUAAUUAUAUCAACCAUAGGGUGCUUGUUCAUCCCAGUAAUUCAUGUGCUAUGAUUAUUUGUAUUUUGAUUUUGUUUUAAUUAUUUUCUUAAUUUUAUGACUAAUAAUUGAUA